GAUGAACGCUGGCGGCGUGCCUAAUACAUGCAAGUCGAGCGAAUGGAUUAAGAGCUUGCUCUUAUGAAGUUAGCGGCGGACGGGUGAGUAACACGUGGGUAACCUGCCCAUAAGACUGGGAUAACUCCGGGAAACCGGGGCUAAUACCGGAUAACAUUUUGAACCGCAUGGUUCGAAAUUGAAAGGCGGCUUCGGCUGUCACUUAUGGAUGGACCCGCGUCGCAUUAGCUAGUUGGUGAGGUAACGGCUCACCAAGGCAACGAUGCGUAGCCGCCCUGAGAGGGGGAUCGGCCACACUGGGACUGGGAAACGGCCCAGACUCCUACGGGAGGCAGCAGUAGGGAAUCUUCCGCAAUGGACGAAAGUCUGACGGAGCAACGCCGCGUGAGUGAUGAAGGCUUUCGGGUCGUAAAACUCUGUUGUUAGGGAAGAACAAGUGCUAGUUGAAUAAGCUGGCACCUUGACGGUACCUAACCAGAAAGCCACGGCUAACUACGUGCCAGCAGCCGCCGUAA
rnacentral:rRNA from 1 species